UCACCAUUUCGAGGAUUUAUAUGAAAUGAAAAGACAACUUCCCAAAAACUAUUUCCUGCCUGAAAUACUACCUACCUGAUACCUGAAUGAUGAGAAUUUUGGAGGACCUAAAUUGUCACAGUUGAAACCUCUACAAAUUCUUUGCACAGACGUAUACUUUUUGUUCUAGCUUCUGACAGAAGAAGAAAAGUGAAAUUUGCUUGCAGAGCAAACGUGACUUUUCUACGUCCACAAGGGAUGACCAACACCUCUCCAGUCUCCUCCUGGUUCAGUGAAAGUACCACAGCAGCCUUCAGGCUCAGCAGUGAGUAACGAGAUCUACCCAGGCAACCAUAGCUGCUUUUCAAGCCAGUGAGAGCCGUGUAAUGUAACUGCAGGCCACGUAGAUGAGCUAAGCAAGCCAACCUGCAGCAUGGACAGCCAAGCUCCGGCCAAUGACAUCUCUUUGCUGCAGAGAACGGGAGUCUCUGCACAGGAAGACUGAAUUGCUUUGUGACCCAGGAAUGACUGCCAGAAUGUUCAGGCUCAUUAGCAGUACCUGCUGAAGUCCCCUGCAACUCAUGGUCAAGAUCACCUGCAAACUUACAAUCUUAAGGUAAAAGAUGCAGCACAACUCAACCCCAUUCUCAGAACAUCUGUGGAUCAAGAAGAUACAUACAAGUAUGAAGACUGGAAGAGAUCUGAAGAUUAAAAUACAAAAG